rnacentral:lncRNA from 1 species
GAUAUUUACCAUGAAAGCUGGUUGUUUUUCAGCAUCUAGUGAUUAAAAUUUCAAUAGCCCAGUAAAGAAAAUCAAUUAUCACUACUCCUUUUUGACAUUUCUUUUAAGACAAAUAUAUAUACUUAAAAUAUAUUUUUCAGCUUGUUAAAUGAUAAGCAAAUUUAUUACUACUAAAGUACUAUAAUCAAAAUGCUUAAUAAACCAUGCUAAUGUGACCAUAGACAAAAUAAUAAUCAACUAUUUCUACACAAAUUUACUCUAGUGUUUUAUGCAACUAAUUGCAUCUAUGUUUAAAAGCAAUAACCAGUUUCUAGAAUAAUAACAUGUCAAUUUCUUAGCCAUCAGGGACUGUGGCUAUAGGAUAUGUUUCAACAGUGCAAUCCAGCAAAUGUUAAGAAGGGAAAUUGAGCGGGAGAAAAAACAUAUUUUUUCAAUAAGAGGUGAAUGAAUUUUUCUGCUGAGUUGUUUCGUCAAGCCCCAAAACUGUAAUGUAUGAUUUUCCAAGAAUGACAGGGGAGGGAACACCAGCAAACAAUGGUAACACACUGCUAGACUGUUCCCUAGAAGUUUGGAAAAUCAA